CGCUAGUACCGAUUGAAUGGCUUAGUGAGGCCUCAGGAUCUGCUUAGAGGAGGGGGCAACUCCAUCUCAGAGCGGAGAAUUUGGACAAACUUGGUCAUUUAGAGGAACUAAAAGUCGUAACAAGGUU
rnacentral:rRNA from 2 species